ACCCCAUCUCAAAGGCCAUUCUAAUGAGCUAAGAAAAGCAUUCAAACUGUUGCUGACUCAGAAAGGGAAAAAAAGACCCUUCUUGGCACAUCAUCAUGUGUGGAUUAUAUCAACUCACUACAGACUCGUGAAUGAACCAUGAGGGACUUCCCUGGACGUUCUGGGGUUAAAACUCCAUGCUUCCACUGCAGGGGCAGAUUCUUUACCGUCUGAGCCACCAGGGAAGUCCAAGAAUACUGGAGUGGGUAGCCGAUCCCUUCUCCAGGGGAGCUUCCUGACCCAGGAAUCAAACUGAGGUCUCCUGCAUUGCAAGCAAAUUCUUUACCAGCUGAGCUACCUGGAAAGCCCCUGCAGAUGGCCGCUCCCCGUUUUAUUAUCCUCAGUAGUACUGAGCACUGACCAGUGUUCCUUAUGCUUCACUUGCUUGUCUUCCUGCUCUGAGAUAGGAAGCACCAGGAGGGGCAGAGCCCUGCAUCCAAGUGGUUCACUGAUACAUCUUCAGUGCUUAGAGCCAGCCUGGCACAUGGCAACUGCCACAUGGGUAUCUGUCAAAGCGAAGGAAUAAGUUGCUGCUCAUUGUGUGUGUGUGUGAGUGUAAUGAAAUAAAGAAUGUUAUUUAAUAUUUACUUUGUUCUUACCG